rnacentral:rRNA from 1 species
UAUGCUUGUCUCAAAGAUUAAGCCAUGCAUGUCUAAGUCCAAGCUGUGUUCACACGGCGAGACCGCGGACGGCUCAUUAAAUCAGUCGUGGUCCAAAUGGGCCAGUGCAAAUCCUACUUGGAUAACUGUGGUAAUUCCAGAGCUAAUACAUGCAACUGAUAUCCCGAAGGCGGUGUUUGGGCUUGCUUGCCUUGCGCUGCGCUGCUCUGACGGAUGCUUUUAUUAGACCAAGCCGCUGAGGACUUGAGGGUUCGCGCUCUCUUGUCUGACUCGUGUGAUGGUGACUCUGGAUAACCAAAUUCUGACAAGCGCACGUACUUCUCUUCUGAGCGAGACGGCGCUGCCACUUUCGAGUGUCUGCCUUAUCAGCUAUCAACCGUUCGUUAUGCGCGACCGAUGGCUUUGACGGGUAACGGGGAAUCAGGGUUCGAUUCCGGAGAGGCAGCCUGAGAGACGGCUACCACGUCCAAGGACGGCAGCAGGCACGCAAAUUACCCAAUCCCAGCAAAUGGGGGAGGUAGUGACGAAAUCUAACGAUGCGGGCGCCCUUUCUGGGGCCCCGCAAUCGGAAUGGGCACUUUCUAAACAACCUGUUGAGAACCUAC